CCUACGGGUGGCAGCAGUGGGGAAUAUUGCACAAUGGGGGAAACCCUGAUGCAGCGACGCCGCGUGAGUGAAGAAGUAUUUCGGUAUGUAAAGCUCUAUCAGCAGGAACGAGACAAGACGGUACCUGACUAAGAAGCCCCGGCUAACUACGUGCCAGCAGCCGCGGUAAUACGUAGGGGGCAAGCGUUAUCCGGAAUCACUGGGUGUAAAGGGAGCGUAGACGGCUGUGCAAUCGUGAAGUGAAAGGCGGGGUCCCAACCCCUGGACUGCUUUGGGAACUGUACGGCUGGAGUUCAGGAGAGGUAAGUGGAAUUCCUAGUGUAGCGGUGAAAUGCGUAGAUAUUAGGAGGAACACCAGUGGCGAAGGCGGCUUACUGGACUGUAACUGACGUUGAGGCUCGAAAGCGUGGGGAGCAAACAGGAUUAGAUACCCCAGUAGUC
rnacentral:rRNA from 1 species